rnacentral:rRNA from 1 species
GCAAGUCGAACGAUAACCCACCUUCGGGUGGCAGACAGUGGCGCACGGGUGAGUAACACGUGGGAACGUACCUUUUAGUACGGAACAACCAUUAGAAAUGAUGGCUAAUACCGUAUAGUCCCUCCGGGGUAAAGAUUUAUCGCUAAAAGAUCGGCCCGCGUCCAAUUAGCUAGUUGGUAAGGUAAUGGCUUACCAAGGCGACGAUUGGUAGCUGGUUUGAGAGGAUGACC